UGCCCGCGCGCGCACACUCUGCCCCCCGCUGCCCGACCCACUGGGGCGGUGCGCGAACCCCGCGGCCCGAGGAGCCCCGCCUCCGGGCGGGCCAAGCCGAGGGGAGCGCACCCCGACUUCCCUGGAUCACAUGGGCUGCGGGGGGCGGGUGGAUCGGGGGAGGGGGAGGCGCGGGGAGCUCGCCGCGGCUCCACACUGGGGCAGGGGAGAAGAUGCCCCCCACCCCUCUAGUUCGGCCUCUCCAUUCAAGUUCCCCGGACCCGGCCGCCAGGAUCCGGGAUGGCAACAGCCGCCUGCCCGGCUCUGCGCCCUUUUUCCAGCCACCGCGCAGAAAUUUAGGUCAAGGACGUCGGGAUCAAAUCCAAACCCUGGCGCUCCUCGGGCAGCCGCCGAGACCCCCCAGGAUCUUGGGGCUUCAGGAUUGCGGAGACUCUCCCGCACAACACCAGCCACAAGUUUUAUUUUCCUUUCGCGCUGGAAGUUCUCUCUGGCUCUCGCUCCGCACCGGCACGUACCCGGCAGAGGAUUAGGAUACAGUGGAAUACACUCAACCCCAAAACGGUACCAAAUCCGCUGUGGGUCUUUGAGAAAUGGACUAUUCGGAAAAUACCAACAUCAACCAAACCCGGGAAGCCGGCUUUCACGCCGUCAAGAUGCACAAGUAGCCUGCUAGAGAGGCCCACGUGGAGAAGAAUUGCAGCUUCCUGUCAGCAACCCGAACUAACCUGCCAGGAUUGUGAGACAUCUUAACGGUGCAUCUGCCAGCCCCAGCCAUGCCUUCAGACGACAGCUACCCCAGCUCACAUCUCAACAACUUCCCGAGAGACCUGGAGCCGGAACCUCCCAGCUAAGCCACUCCCAAUUCCUGACCCUCAGAUACUGGUAUGCGGCUUCUCUGUUGUGGCCUCUCCCGUUGCGGAGACAAGCUCCGGACGCGCAGGCUCAGCGGCCAUGGCUUACGGGCCCAGCCGCUCCACGGCAUGUGGGAUCUUCCCGGACCGGGGCACAAACCCGCGUCCCCUGCAUCGGCAGGCGGACUCCCAACCACCGCGCCACCAGGGAAGGCCCUCCUCGGGCCUUUUGCAUGUGCUCUUCUUUCUCUCCUCACUGUAUGGAUAUCUCCUUAUUACUUUUCAAAUCUUAGUUCAGAUACCACCUCCUCAAAAAUACCUUUUCUCAUCAACGUCUCUAAAGUUGCCUCCCCUACUGCUUUCUAGUUCAUUGCUUUAAAUUGCCUGCUGGGAGCUCACGUGAGGGCCUCAAUUAUCCUCUGUUUGGGUUUUUCCAUGUGGCAGCGUGGGCUUCCUAAUAACAUGGAAGCUGGAUUCUAAGAGGGAAGAAGCAGAAACACCAAAAUCUAAAAUAUUCUCCACCUAUUCCCAAAUAAUUUUCUAGCGCCUUAUCCUAUGUUAUCUAUUUUCUCACUCUCUGAAAUUAUUGUGGUAAUUUAUGUUUCCUUGCUAAUUGCCUGCUCUCUCCCAGCAUCUAUAAGGAUAUAAAACCCGUGAGAUUAGAAA